rnacentral:rRNA from 1 species
UACGUAGGUGGCGAGCGUUGUCCGGAUUUACUGGGCGUAAAGGGCGUGCAGACGGUCUGUUAAGUCUAGGGUGAAAGCUCCCGGCUCAACUGGGAGAGGUCCUUGGAUACUGGCGGACUUGAGGGAUGCAGAGGAAAGUGGAAUUCCCGGUGUAGUGGUGAUAUGCGUAGAUAUCGGGAGGAACACCAGUGGCGAAGGCGGCUUUCUGGGCAUUACCUGACGCUGAGACGCGAAAGCGUGGGGAGCGAACCGG